rnacentral:rRNA from 1 species
CAGUCGCCGCGGUAAUACGAAGGGUGCAAGCGUCAAUCGGAAUUACUGGGCGUAAAGCGUGCGUAGGCGGUGAGUUAAGUCUGUUGUGAAAUCCCCGGGCUCAACCUGGGAAUGGCAAUGGAUACUGGCAAGCUAGAGUGUGUCAGAGGAUGGUGGAAUUCCCGGUGUAGCGGUGAAAUGCGUAGAGAUCGGGAGGAACAUCAGUGGCGAAGGCGACUAUCUGGGCCAACACUGACUCUGAGGCACGAAAGCGUGGGGAGCAAACAGGAUUAGAUACCCCGGUAGUCCCUGUCUCUUAUAC